rnacentral:rRNA from 1 species
UUCCUACGGGACGCAGCAGUGGGGAAUAUUGGGCAAUGGAGGCAACUCUUACCCAGCAAUGCCGCGUGAAUGAAGAAGGUCUUCGGAUUGUAAAGUUCUUUAAUUGGGGACGAAAAAAAUGACGGUACCCAAGGAAUAAGCCCCGGCUAACUACGUGCCAGCAGCCGCGGUAAUACGUAGGGGGCGAGCGUUGUCCGGAAUCACUGGGCGUAAAGGGCGCGUAGGCGGUAAUAUAAGUCAGAUGUGAAAGGUGGGGGCUCAACCCCUAGAGUGCAACUGAUACUGUAUAACUUGAGUGUGAGAGG